AGACAGCAAUUAGAUUUGGGCCGGGUCCGUUUUCAAGUCAGCAGAUCCGCAUAGCAGUCACAGUCAUUUUGCCGAUCAGCGGCAGCUCCGAUCCGGACCAGUAGUUUGACAGUCAGUUUUGAAGGCUCCUGGCGGAUGCGGGCCAGAUAAGCAAUCCGGACGCGCCAUAAUGAAAUAAUUCAGUCCGAUUUGAAGGCGCGUGGCGGGUGCGGGCCACAUAUUGCAAUCCGGACGCGCCAAAACUGAAUUUGUUCCCCAACUGUCACUUUCCCGGAACCCUCAGAGAGAGACCGUUCUUCAGUUUACCUCAGCUGAACUCAACUAUCCGCCUGUGUCGCGUCUCGUCCAACACUGCACUGUCGUGACUUGAUCAUUCAAUGAAUUGUACGGUAGGUUCAGCCAUUCCUUGAUCGACCUGACACCAACAUUAGGCCUACUCGAUGUGUAUGAAGCAAGCUGCCUCUGCAUCAAGUGAGAGAAGAAGCCGCCACUGAAAAGCUUUUUGGACUGUCAUUUGAAGGACACAAAUGAAAGGGCAGGAAUUCUGCUCUGCGGCGUUGGACUCACUAUUUAUUCAAGAAGCCCUCGGACACCACCAGAUUGUAUGAAAAUUAUAAACAGUAGGCACAGUCAUUCCUUGAUCGACCUGGCAUCAACAUCGCUCGAUGUGUAUGAAGCUGCAAGUGAGAGAAGAAGCCGCCACUGAACACCUUUUUGGACUGUCAUGACUCAAAUGAAAGGACAGGACUUCUACUCUGCUGGGUCGGCCUCACUACAUAUUCAAGAAGCCCUCGGACGUCAUCAGAAUGUAUUAAUGUGAAGAGGCAACAAGGGAGAGAUGAACGCUAUCAAAAAUGUGGAGAUGGAUCUGGCAGCCGACCGCUUUGGCACACACCCAACAAGAAACAAAACAAUAAAGAAUACUAAAAUGCAUAA